AUACUUACCUGGCCAGAGGAGUUACCAUGAUCACGAAAAUGAUUUGCCCAGGGUGAGGCUUAUCCAUUGCACUCUGGGUGGGCUGACCCCUGCAAUUUCUCCAAAUGUGGGAAACUUGAACGGCAUAAUUUGUGGUUGUUGGGGAGCAGUUCACACUCUCACCUG